GCCACACAGAAGGCGUGUCCUUGUCCAUUGGUUCUUGCGUGACAAUCAGAGGGACACCGAUCCUCCCUUUCAUCAAUGACCCAGAGCUGCGGGUGGAAUUCUACACUGGGAUGAAUGAGAACUCAGACAUCGCCUUCCAUUUCUGAGUGCACUUUGGCCAUUGUUUGGUCAUUGACAGCCAUGUGUGUGGGCCUGGAAGUGUGAGGGGAGAUGCCACAAUGUGUUCUUUAAGGACGGCAAACAAUUUGAUCUGAGCAUCUUGGUGCUGGACAAUGAAUACCAGAAUCUGCAGAAGAAACAGUGUCCCUCAAACUUUGAUUUACAUGGACACCAACAGAGGGUGUAUCUAGAGC
rnacentral:lncRNA from 1 species